GGCGGGGGACACCCUGAACCGGUUGCCAGCCAAUCACCGGGCACACAGAGAUGAACAACCACCCGCACUCACACUCACACCUCUGGAAAAUUUAGAGUGUUCCAUUGACCAACCAUGCAUUUUUUUGGAAUGUGGGAGUACUUGGAGAAAACCCACGCAGGCCCGGGGAGAUCAUGCAAACGCCACACAGGGAGGUCGGAGCCGAAAUCGAACUCACGAUCUCUGCACUGUGAUGUUGACUCGCUAACCACUCACCCACCGAGCCCUCCUAAUUAAAAUAAUAGUUUUUUUUUUUUUAAAGCAUAAACUUGUCCAGUUAAUGUUUUUUCCACACGAAAUCCCUCUGAAUGGUCAUAAUAAUUUCGACAUAACAAAGUACACUGACAUUGAGUUUGGCCACGGCCGAAUAAUUCAAAACACUCGUUUCACAUUCCAGUCCUGUAGGUGGCAGUAUUACAAAUUUGAAGUAAUUAAAUGGCAAGUCUUUUUCCUCCGCACGCUCUAUUUGUAUCAAAUGGAAUGUUUUUACUUGGUCCACACACUACCUUGCUACAAAAUGUCCUCAACCAACAAACCAUCAUCGAAACAUCCUCUCACUUAAAAUGUUGUCAAUGCUUUGCUAAUGGUGGUGAUGUUCACGGAGAUUGCGUGCAACAGUCGUGUUCAAACCAAACAGCAUUGUGAAUCAUGACGGCUGUAGGGUUUUUUUUUUUUGUUGCCCCAAGCACCAUAACAUGCAGUACAGUAAAUAUUCCCAUCCCCGGAAUUCUAUGAAAAGGAAUAUCCUUCACCCGUAAUAAAAACCUAUGCAUUAACAUUUUGACUACGAUAUUACGUGUUACCGUAAGCGGAAAUUCCAUGACCUGUAACCCGGAUGGAGAUGUAAUGCGCGGGAGCUUAAAUACACGCAAUGUCCACCCGAUGCGACGGAAAAGACAACGCUGAGACAAGUUUUCACUUCGCGUUUUUCGAUCAUCAGAUUCUAAUCGACGACGUAUCAUCGCAUCGAAACGUAGAAGAACUGUAAUGACUGGAGCGGAGCGAGUGAAAUGCAUCCGUUUGAGCGAGGCUGGACACAAAGUUAAAAACAUCCAGCAGACGCUUGGAGGCGCAAAGACGCAAAUCUACGAAACUUUAAAAAACAAGGCAUCGAUUCAACUGACUACAAGCCACCAUCCAGCAAGGAGGCAAUGCAAAUGGCAACAAAAAUCCUUCAGUAUGCACAAGAAUUACCAGACAUCGGUGAUCAACGGGACAGUUACUUGCAACUAGCAAGAAAACUGUAUGACACGCAGGCAAACAUUGUCAUAAACCAAAGAAUGCAUCCAACAAAACAAUCCAAAAUACAAUUUUUUUUCCCUAGACAGAAAAAAAUAAACAUUCAAAUACUGUUGUGAUUUUUUGGGGGGGUACACCUGUAUUGCAGAUUUUGUUAUAUAAACAGUUUUUGGACUAUAUAUUUUUGUAUUUUAUUGAUUGUGUUGUUACACGUGCAUUUUGUCAGCAUACUUGCAGGUUCAUAAAGGACAUGUACCAUGCUCAUUUCCCAAAUGAGGAAUUUCUGUUAUCAGGACAAAUUGGACAGCGCAAACACGAGUCCGUACGAGAGAAUAUUUACUGCACCUGCUGCAAUGACUCUCACACCCCCGCCCUUGUCCCCGCCCCCAACCAGCAACUAUCACAAACAUUCAAGGGAACAGUCCUCUACAUCAAGCUGUCCCUCCCGCUUGGCCCCAUGUGCGGCACAAUAGACGACAUUUGAGAGCGCCGGGUUCGAGGGUUUGUUAAUAUUCACAGACAUGCAAAGUGCGAGAUUGCUUUUUAGGCUGAGAGUGAGGAACGAUGGAGUGUCCCCGCGAAAACCUAUUUAUCAAGGACAGCUUGUCUGCUGCUGCUACACACAUGGAGCCCCGAUCCAUCUUCAUUUGCUCAGAAUCUGCGGCCCAUUUCUCUGGCAAAGAUCACUGUUUUGUGUCCCCACUGCCAUGUCGGUCCUCAGUGGAGGAUGGAUGAUCCGAUGGCAUGAAUAAUUGAAUUGCUGUUCCACCAACUACAGCACAUGGACAAUCCAACAAGAGCCUUUUUUUCGUUUUUUGAAACACAAUGUUUUAAUUGAAGAUGCAUGUAAACUUUCGACCACCUUCUUGGCCCAAAUAUUAUUAACUACAAAUAAUGUAUCUUUGUUUUUCUGUUAAUGCCAGCGACGUAUAUUGACAAACAGAAUAAGAGAAUGCUCUUUUCCUAGAUGGCAAAAGGCACUUUCCUCCAGAGGUCAACGACACGGUGCUCAAAAGGGCACCAGCUAUCUCCCAAGGAUCACAUGAGUAGCCUGCGGGCCUGUACCAAAUAUAGCUGGCUAGCUAGUGAAGGGACAUUGUGAUUUCCCUGCAACUGCUGACUACGCUUUAUAGUCCAUGUUACAGCUAAGCCUUUCAUGUGCAUAUUAUACAGGAAGGUAUGCAAAUUAAUUUCCUCAAAUGUCACUGUAUUAGCAUAUCGAGGUCCCAUGCCUGUGUUAUGUCGAUACAAAGCCUCUCAGAGAAAGUGGAAGGUGGAUUUUGUCCUCUAACCUCUUUUGCCUGGAAGCUCACAGUUGGGGUCCAUCUCGAACCCCCCGCCGCUCCACCUCCUAAACCAGCUGAGUUCUGCAGAUUGCUGAGAGUCAGGAGAAGCUAUCACCGCAGGGAGUGCGGGGCUCCACCGUUACAGUAUAGAGGAACGAGUUAUCAAAUCAUCAACAAAGUGCUCAAAUGCUUAUUUCAAAUAUGUAAGCAAAACAGAAAAACAGAGAGAAUAAGUUUAAAAUAAAAAACAAAAGCAAAGCAGAGACAGUUUCACCUGCUCCAAACGGGGUAGGAGAACAUAUUUUUGUUACGGUAAAAAAUCUAGCACAAAACGUCUAAAGUCUAAUUGUGCAUGGGUGCAGUUACAUUUUUUCCUCUUGGUAUUUUGCUCGACUUUGCACUGGUAGAAUUGGGCGCAAUGAUGCGCUUAUGGCGUUGUGGAUGGAAGUAGUCUUUUUCCUGGACAAUCUUAGCGGCAUGCAAAUCGAAUGUUUUGACUUGUGAGUGCAAGUCCAAAUCUUGAUGCGUUCACCCUUUUGAGGUCGCUAAUUAGUGCAAUAAUCCAUAUGUUAACUGUACUUUGCAUGUACUCAUGAAUAAGUAACUAAGUGUUGGCCAUGCAGAAAACUGUCGCUCGUUUGCUCGCCGCCUUUCGGUGAUAAAUCACUUUGUGGGGAAAAUCCAAUUGUCUGUGCCCCAGCGUGCCGCGCUCUUUUGCUGACCUCUGUUGUAAAUAUGCAAUCAAGACAUUAAUCAAGAGUUCCGAUCGAUCAUUUAGAUUCCUGCCAGAUCCGCGCAACUUUCACGGCCGCCCGAUGUUUUUUAUUUUAUUUUUAUUUUUUGAAGGGGGGGGGCUUCUUUUCAAAGGAAUUUUGUGUGUGUUAACAAUCGAUAACUUCAGUGAGUUGAUAGAGUGGUCCACGCGUAUUACCCUACAGAGCAAGCACACUUUAAGGUAAUCUCACUGACCACAUGCCCCCCCCCCCUCCCUUUGUGAUUGAUUGAAAGAAUGACGUGAGUGAAAGUUAGCCAACUCAAGCGCCACCCCAUCACUCCACCUGAUGUCUUUCUUCCAUCUGGACAUUCUCACACAGCCGACGCGCCAUCACGUCCAUCUCAGCCCGCUAUUGAUCGCCCUCAUGAUCUAAUCCCCUCGCUUUGCCCUCCUGUCAGCUCACCUUCCAUCCCCCAUCCUCAUGCCCGUUAAUGUCUUCAUGAAGCAGCGGCAGCAACCUUUCCUCUUUCGCUUCAAGCAAUAUCCCCGCGCGCGUACGCGGGAUGCACGCACGUCAGCGUUCCUUCGAGCUGCUGCACAUUUGAUUCGAACCUGACGUGACCCCGACAGCCAUUGAAGAGACCCCCUCCGCCCCCGCUUACAGGUACUUGUACCACUGAAACGGCCUCACUUACUCUUAAAUACUUCAGGUCCUCAGAUUUUAAAAAGACUUCCCUAAAAUUAAGUUUCGUGCUGGGAAUGAUCGGUCAUUGCCAUGAUCCUUGCCUUCAGACGGGGUUCUUGAGAGCUUUAUUAAAUAAAUACUUUUCCUGCCUGGCUUGAGUGAGAAUGUCGGGAUGAAUUAUUGUUCCUCUUCCAGGGAGUGUGAGUUACAUCGCACUCCAUUUCAUCUUGCUCCUUCCAUCUCUUCACUAAUGCUCCACAAAUGUCUCUUGGAGACUUACAUUUUUUUAAUGUAUUUUUUUUUUAGCUGUGCUCCUCCACAGCAUGCCAACAUUUUAUACUGAUCUUUGAUUUAAAAAAAAACACAUUCUGCUGGAAUCAAAUGUUGCUGGAACCCCCGCCACUACUUUUGGCUUUGUACCUAAAAGCAAGUGGUGGGCUGCUUUUUUUUGUUUUAGGUUUUGUGCUACGAUGUUAGAUCAUAUCUUUCAUCAUUUUUUUUAUCUUCUUCUGGACUGGGACACAUGUCUCAUAUUUUCAUUUAUUUCGCCAAUUAUUGACGAUACGUUGUCAUGACGGAAAGAACAAGAUCCAGGAUACAAGCGGUCGAAAUGAAUAUCCUCUGUCUGGCUCUCUUUGAAAUAAAGAGUGAGAAGCCUGAUAAUCUGGUUGGCUGCUGGUCGGAGCCAGUUGAGGUGUCACAGGCAUUAGGUUAGGAUGCCUCCCUGGUGAGGUGUUCCGGGCAUGUCCCACCUGCAGAAGGCCCCCGGGACGGGUCAGGAUGGAGAGACUCCGCCUCCCAGCUGGCUUGGGAACACUUUCGGGAGAGCUGGAUGAAGUGGCUGAGGAGGCAAAAGUCUGGGCUUCCCUUCCAAAUCUGCUACCCUCCUGAUUUGACCCCGGAUAAGUGGAAGGCGGACAAAUAUAUUCUUUCCAAGAAUGUCUUAUAUGUAACCCUACUCGUCAAAACACAGUAGUCUGAUUAGUAUCGUAUUUGUGGAAUAAGAAAAAUAAUAAGAAUUAAGCAGCAGGGGGCUGCAAUUUUGGCCAAUACCUCGGGCUCGCAUCACAUGACAAAACCGAGACGGUGGCAAUGCGAGCCCGAGGGAACUUUGUCAUCAGAUCAGUUGACUGGCAGAAGGCGGUAUGGAUGGAAAAAACUGUUUUAUUCUUAUAUCCCCAAAAUGCAAAUAAGUAAUCAGAACACCGUACUGAAAGUAAUUGAGGCACAUAUCAUAUUUUUUUACGUUUAGUUGCCCAUUAAAAGCUUCACAAUGAAAGUUGUUUUGGGAUCCACUUCUAUUUCCAUUGAUUUUAUGCCUCGGCGGAGCAGAGACUGCAGAUUUUUACAAAUAUUUAUCAUGUACUUUUGUCAAACGUGAAUGACAAAUAUGCUUAUAUAUUAUAUUUUAUAUUGCAUUCUGUACUGUGUACAGUUCAUUUUUAAAUGUAUUUUGUGCAAGCAAAUACUUCAGUUUAGUUUUUCUACUUUCUUCCCUCCAAAUUUUGCUGCUGUAAAUUGCGAAUUUCUCCAUUGUGAGACAAAUAAAGGUUUUCUUCUCUUAUCUGAUAUAAUCAACUGCAAACUCACCCUUUAACCCAGAUGAGUAAACUACGGCCCGCGGGCCGAAUCCGGCCCGUUGGUCUUUUUAAUCCGGCUCGCCGAAGGUUGGUACACAAUUAAGGUUCGAUUUCAAUGACUGCAUUCAUUUCAUUUGGACUUGUAAUGACAGGCAUUUCAACGCCAGGUGGCACAGUUACUUGAAGUUGCAGAGCAUAGGGAGGAAGGGGGAGACGAUACGGAAGCCCGCAGUAGCGCCAAGUCAAGCAAAUCCCGUUAGGUACGACAGAAUAAUGUACUCUUAAAGUCUGAAAAAAGUGCCGAAAAUGGAAAAUACUGCUUUUUAAAUAAAGAAAUCCAAUUAAUAUUAUGUCGAAUUUAGUUCACCCUUUUGAUCCAGCCCUCUAUAAUAUUUUCUGGUUCU